UACAGACUUUACAUCAUGUCCAAGCACCACACCAUCAACUCCAGUACCAACAACUCUACCAAUGUAUAGGUACAUGCUUUUUGUUGAGCUGAACUCCACAGAUGUUACAGCUGUAGAGAAGCUAAGGAACAUCAAUUAUCCCAUCAGCAUCAACAGUAACACACAGAUCUCUGAUGUUAACAUCUCUACAGUUUGCUCUCCAAGCAACCCUGGUUAUCAGUGCAGAUGUGAGGAUCAGUAUCGCUGGUCAUGUGACCAGUGUCUAACAUAUGGAUCAUGUGACAACAUCACUGUUGACACAUGUGGAUGCAUCAGUGCCA